AACAAACGCUGGCGGCGUGCCUAAUACAUGCAAGUCAAACGGGGUAGCAAUACCUAGUGGCGCACGGGUGAGGAACGCGUGGAUAAUCUGCCUUAGAGUGGGGGAUAACUAGUCGAAAGAUUAGCUAAUACCGCAUAAGACCACAGGAGCUGCGGCUCUAGGGGUCAAAGGUUUUUCGCUCUAAGAUGAGUCCGCGUAAGAUUAGCUAGUUGGUGAGGUAACGGCUCACCAAGGCGACGAUCUUUAACUGGUCUGAGAGGAUGAUCAGUCACACUGGAACUGAGACACGGUCCAGACUCCUACGGGAGGCAGCAGUAGGGAAUAUUGCACAAUGGAGGAAACUCUGAUGCAGCGACGCCGCGUGAGUGAUGAAGGCCUUCGGGUCGUAAAGCUCUGUCGCAGGGGAAUAACACAAUGAAUGUACCCUGUAAGAAAGGAUCGGCUAACUUCGUGCCAGCAGCCGCCGUAAUAC
rnacentral:rRNA from 1 species